CUUGACCGAGCCGAGCAGCAGCGGCUGCCCCUCGGGCCGGUCCUGCCCGUAGGUCGCCAGGAGGGCCUGGGCCUC
rfam:Streptomyces sp. PVA 94-07 chromosome, whole genome shotgun sequence.